GGGUCGGUACCAAAGUGGACAAAUGGGGCAGACUGUAAAUCUGCUGGCUUUAUGCCUUCCCUGGUUCGAAUCCAGGCCGGCCCACCA
rnacentral:tRNA from 2 species